GAUGACCAAAUAAUUAACAUAGUUUAGGUCACAAUGCUAAAUUAUCCUUUACAGAGCCACGCAAAAGAUUAUGUCACCAGAAGUAGUACUGUAUGUGAGCAAUGCCACACUUUGCGGUGCCACCACAUACAGUGCUCCUCUCACCACCAAUGAAAGAGAAUGGCAGUUACAUGAGGACUGAAGAUAUUUCAUCUUUCUCUGUAUCUUGAGUGUCUAUCACAGUACUUCAAACAUGGUAGGAAUUUGAGACAUACUUGUUGUGUGACUGACUGAUCCCACACUAACUUUGUAAAAACAUCGAGGAAGGCACAAGUUCCCAGUGCUAAGUUGCCCACCUGCACCAGCGGAAGGAGCCCCUGCCCCAAGGGUUCUCUACCCCUAGGAAAUCACAGUUCUGGAUCCUCCCAACCCAGCCCUACCCUAGUAUCUGUCCUUUAUAAAGCCACACCGAGAAGGGGAGACACCUAUGAGCACUUGUUAGCGCCAGUGCUUUAAGGACUACUCUUCCAAAGUGUGAUUUUCUAAGACCACUGGAACCUAUUCAAGCAAUGGAUUCCUUACAGGGACACUUGUCAUAAAAAGCUGACCCCCCUCUGACAAGGUUCAGUGACUGACGUGCCCAAAGGAACUCAUGAUGAGGAAAUUCCAAGGCACAAGGGAACAUCAUGAUGAGCUUUGUCUAUAAUUAGGAUGAAUGGCCCUUCCACCAUGAAAAACGGGAAGUGCUCCAGAUCAUUUUCAUGAAAUGAACCAGGUCUGUGCUGAAAGGAAAGAACUUGCUUCUCAUAAUGUUAUGGGCCUCGAGUACAUGGAAGAGGAUGGAAAUGACUGGGAGACAGAAGACAAGCCAUGCACAAGUCAGGGACAAACUCUGAUCCUGGAUCCCCAUCAGAAGAGUGGAGAAGAGGAGAGAACGCUUUUCUUUUGUUUAAUAUGAUGUCUCCUAAAGCUUCUGUACAAGAUUUCCAGGUCCAAGAUUUUCUUUGUACUGUUCCCUUCUCAAGUGUGUGAUAAAAAUGACCUCACGCUUUGAUCUGACUGUUCCAGGAAGCAAAUCCCAAGCAUACAAGUUACCAUUGGAAUCAUUGAAGAGGACAGGAAAUUUAGGAAUGGAUGAGUCUCUAUUAUCUAACAGAGAAAUAAAUGACUGGCAGGACCUUGUGGUCCCUUUAACCUACUCGGGCGCAUAUAACAUUUAAACCCCCUAGGACUCUCUUGUUUCACCUUGAAAAUCUCCAAAGAUGGCACCUCCACAGUUCUCCUCUGUAUCCAAUGUCAUUUUGACCACUGCAAAGUAGUGAGGAUCAAAGAAUCACAUUUCGAACUGAAAGGUACUUUAAAAGUAUGGUCCAAUCCCCUUAUCUUAUAGAUGUGAAA